rnacentral:misc_RNA from 1 species
CUCUCUCUCUCUCUCUCUUCAUUUUGGCGUAGCUCUCGCUUCCCUCUCCUAUCCUAGGGUUUUUCCAAUCCCAAAUCUGAUUGAUUUUCCAUUUCGUUACCGGAUUCUCUCCCUUCAAUGUGCCUCCACUGCUCUUCUUUCAGGGCUUCGAUGUGGGCUUUCAGAGCGAGUGAAAGGAGCUCGCAGACUAUUCAUAGUUUAAGAUGUCUAUAUCAAAAACAGGUCUCGUAUGAACUUUUAAGGACUUUAUAGAACCUUUUGAACUGCUUCUGAACAAAUUUGGUGGAGUCUGAGCAGCUGUAUUAAUGGGGUCGUAUUCUCAUGGUCGCACUUGUGAAAUUGUUGAAGCAAGGGAAGAGCUGAAUUCAGCAGUACAUUCUAAGAGAACUUUUGAAUCUCAUUCUGGAUUAAAUGUGGGUGAUAAUGAAAGGGAGCCAUCUGUUCACAAACUGGGAUACAGGAAUUCUCUAGAAGAUGAUAUCAAUCAACUUUUUGAAGCUAUCAGUCUCAAAAACUCGUCCAAGGGACUGAUUCUUUCGAGUCAAGCAGGCCCAAGCUCAAGCCCUUUAAGGAAAAGUGCGAUGAAGAGGCCAAUAACAGUAGGUGUGCCUCAUUCCCCUAGAAUCGGAAAUUCUGAACAAGUGUCUCUGAAGCAGGCAUUAAGGGAGCUUUGCAUUUCUAAAGCAUCAGAGAUGGCUGCUAUGAAACGGUUAACAAAGUCGACUGGCUCUCCAGGACCAUCAGAAGCUGGAAGGAUAAAGAGUUUGUAUAAUUCAGUCGUAGUUGAAACUAGUGGGUCUGGGCUCCCAGUAGAUGAAGGAAAGGGGACUGUGGUUGAGAUAUCCCUACUUCCAGAAGAAAGCAAAUCAAAAUCUUCUGAGAAGAUGCUUCAUCAACUUCAGCCGCCAAAGUCAUCAAACCCAAGUGGUUAUUCUUCUCCUCAGUCCCAAGUAUUCAAAUAUCCACACCAAAGUGCUCAUUCUUCUCCUCGAUUUGCUGUUCUAGCAACACAAACUGGUUCUGGGACAGCAUCUAUGGAGGAUGAGAUUGCGUCUGCAUCCAGAAAAGUUGGAACUCUGGCAUUAAAGUCACCAGACCAAAGCACUUUCUCUUCUCCUAGAUUCUCUGUACCAAAAAUGCAAAGUGAUAUUGGGACCAGCUCAAUUCAGAAUGAGGUUGGUUCUUCAACAAGAAAAGUUGGAAGUCAAGCAACAAAGUCACCUUCCCAAAGUGUUCAUUCUUCUCCCCGGUUUGCUGUUCCAUUCACAAAAAGUGGUACUGGGACCACAUCACUGCAAAAUGAUAUAAAUUCUACAUCAACUAAAGCUGGAACUCAAGCAUUGGAGACAGAAAUGGUUCAGAAAGAGAAAUGCAUGCCUGCAACUUCCUUAUCUUGUUCUGAUUCUGUCAACAAUAUGCCAGAUGAAGAUUUAAGUGUUUCCACUUCAACGAAGGUAGCAAGAAAGACAUCAACACCUCGAUCCAGCCGAAAAGGCAAGUUACACUCUCUUUCUUCUUCAGUUAAUGGAAGCAGAGUAAACAAGUUCACAAGAAAUACUCCACGAUUAGCAAAACCGGUUGUGAGGAACAAGAGUUAUGUUAAGAAGAAAAUAAAGCAGGGUACAGCUUCUGCUGCCUGCAUUUCUAAUGAAGCUAAUAAUAGCUUGGCUCCUAGCACAGUUCAGUUGGUUUGCCAGAAAUGUCAAUGUGCUUUAAGGAAUGUGACUGAGGAUUUAAAGCAGGACUCCCCACUUACUUUCUCUGCCAGUUUUAGUGCCGAAGUUAGCUCAAGCCAUGUUGAUGCUGGUGCUGGUAAACCAGAAUUCAGUUCAAGCAAUUGUAACAGAAACAGAUGCAUUGGGAAGGCAAAGAAGAAUUCAAAAUCAAAAGAGAAGGGGGAGUUCUCCCAAAGCUCAAAGAGUAGCCUUGGUGAAUAUAGCACAAGUACGAGCAACAGUGAUGAGAGCAAUGCAAGCAGGCCUAGCUGUUGCAACAGACCCCAUAUGUCGAAGGAUGUUAGGUGGGAAGUUAUUCGCCAUGUUAAGAUGCAGGAUAAAGUUUUAAGUUUGAGGCAUUUCAACAUCUUAAAAAAGCUUGGUUGUGGAGAUAUAGGAACUGUUUAUCUUGCUGAGCUAAUUGGUUCGAACUGCCUAUUUGCUAUAAAGGUCAUGGACAAUGAAUUUUUGGCAAGAAGGAAGAAGAUGCCAAGGGCUCAAACGGAAAGAGAGAUAUUGAGAAUGUUAGACCAUCCUUUUCUCCCCACACUGUAUGCCCAAUUCACAUCAGAUAAUUUGUCAUGUUUAGUUAUGGAGUACUGUCCAGGUGGAGAUCUGCAUGUCCUUAGGCAGAAGCAGCCUGGCGGGAGUUUCCCUGAACCAGCAGCCAGGUUUUAUGUCGCUGAAGUCCUUCUUGCUCUGGAGUACUUGCACAUGCUUGGAGUUAUCUACCGGGAUCUGAAACCAGAAAACAUUCUUGUUCGAGAGGAUGGCCACAUUAUGCUCACAGAUUUUGACCUCUCACUGAGAUGCAGUGUAAGUCCAACGCUCCUGAAAUCAACUGAUGCUGAUACUGCAAGGAUGUCUGGUCCGUGCACAGAAUCUAGCUGCAUUCAGCCUUUCUGCAUUGAGCCAUCAUGUCAAGUUCCAUGCUUCAGUCCUAGGUUUUCACCCGCUGCUGCAAAAACAAGGAAGUUAAAAGCUGAAAUGGCUUCUCAAACCAGGUCAUUGCCUCAGCUAGUGGCUGAACCUACUGAUGCACGUUCAAAUUCCUUUGUUGGGACCCAUGAAUACUUGGCCCCUGAGAUUAUCAAAGGAAAGGGUCAUGGAGCGGCAGUUGAUUGGUGGACGUUUGGUAUAUUUCUCUAUGAGCUUUUAUAUGGUAGAUCACCAUUUAAAGGUUCUUGUAAUGAAGAAACGCUAGACAAUGUGAUUUCGCAGAGCCUGAAGUUCCCUGACAGCCCACUUGUUAGUUUUCAGGCGAGGGAUCUCAUCUGGGGUCUGUUGGCAAAGGAUCCUGAGAAUCGUUUGGGAUCUGAGAAAGGAGCUGCUGAGAUCAAGCAACACCCUUUCUUCGAGGGCUUAAAUUGGGCACUAAUAAGAUGUGCCAUUCCACCUGAACUACCUGAAUAUUAUGAUUUUGGAGUUCCAUGCGAAAAUGGCAGCAACUAUUUGGAGUACAAAGCGACAGGAGAGCACCUUGAAUUCGAGCUGUUCUAAACAUGGUUUCUCUCCUUCCCUGUUGUAACUAUAAUGGAGCUUGUGAUGUAAAUUUGAUUAAGAACAUUGUGAUACGGCUGUUAUUUGUGAUUAAGAUAUGGCUUAACGGUGCCUAUUAUGGUCCGCUGCUCCAAAUGCAUGACUGGUGAGUGAUGACCCCUUCAGAUUUUGUCACAUCAAAUCAUUUAUUGAGCAACUCUCUCACUUGUGCAUGUCUUUCCCUUCAAUCAACCUUUUAUUAGUUUUCUUUUUCGGCCAUGGCUGCAUAAAAGUGUUCUUCUUCUAACUAUUCAAGAACUUGUAACUUUUCAGACUAUAUUGAACGAUGAAUUUCAAGUGGAGUUGCUGCUGCAGCUUUAUGGAGUUUUGUUUUUCAAGGACAGGAUAGAUUUGCAUUAAUGCAAAAAAGGCAUUACAAAUGGGCUCUAUAGCCAAACAUUACAGGAAAGGCACCUAGGC